rnacentral:rRNA from 1 species
GACGAACGCUGGCGGCGUGCUUAACACAUGCAAGUCGAACGGAAAGGCCCUGCUUUUGUGGGGUGCUCGAGUGGCGAACGGGUGAGUAACACGUGAGUAACCUGCCCUUGACUUUGGGAUAACUUCAGGAAACUGGGGCUAAUACCGGAUAGGAGCUCCUGCUGCAUGGUGGGGGUUGGAAAGUUUCGGCGGUUGGGGAUGGACUCGCGGCUUAUCAGCUUGUUGGUGGGGUAGUGGCUUACCAAGGCUUUGACGGGUAGCCGGCCUGAGAGGGUGACCGGCCACAUUGGGACUGAGAUACGGCCCAGACUCCUACGGGAGGCAGCAGUGGGGAAUAGUGCACAAUGGGCGGAAGCCUGAUGCAGCAACGCCGCGUGCGGGAUGACGGCCUUCGGUUUGUAAACCGCUUUCGCCUGUGACGAAGCGUGAGUGACGGUAAUGGGUAAAGAAGCACCGGCUAACUACGUG